rnacentral:rRNA from 1 species
GUGAGUAGUUCAGAGUUUGAUCCUGGCUCAGGAUGAACGCUGGCGGCGUGCAUAACACAUUCAAGUCGAACGGACAGUAGCAAUACUGUUAGUGGCGGACGGGUGAGUAACGCGUGAGCAAUCUGCCUUCGGGUGCGGAAUAACAGGGAGAAAUCGCUGCUAAUACCGCAUAACGCAAGAGAACCGCAUGAUUUUCUUGCCAAAGAUUUAUCGCCCGAAGAUGGGCUUGCGUCCGAUUAGGUAGUUGGUGAGGUAACGGCCCACCAAGCCGACGAUCGGUAGCCGAACUGAGAGGUUGAACGGCCACAUUGGAACUGAGAUACGGUCCAG